rnacentral:rRNA from 1 species
AGGAUUAGAUACCCUGGUAGUCCACGCCGUAAACGAUGAGUGCUAAGUGUUAGGGGGUUUCCGCCCCUUAGUGCUGCAGCUAACGCAUUAAGCACUCCGCCUGGGGAGUACGACCGCAAGGUUGAAACUCAAAGGAAUUGACGGGGGCCCGCACAAGCGGUGGAGCAUGUGGUUUAAUUCGAAGCAACGCGAAGAACCUUACCAGGUCUUGACAUCCUUUGACCACUCUGGAGACAGAGCUUUCCCUUCGGGGACAAAGUGACAGGUGGUGCAUGGUUGUCGUCAGCUCGUGUCGUGAGAUGUUGGGUUAAGUCCCGCAACGAGCGCAACCCUUGAUUUUAGUUGCCAGCAUUUAGUUGGGCACUCUAAAGUGACUGCCGGUGCAAGCCGGAGGAAGGUGGGGAUGACGUCAAAUCAUCAUGCCCCUUAUGACCUGGGCUACACACGUGCUACAAUGGAUAGUACAAAGGGUCGCGAAGCCGCGAGGUGGAGCUAAUCCCAUAAAACUAUUCUCAGUUCGGAUUGUAGGCUGCAACUCGCCUACAUGAAGCCGGAAUCGCUAG